rnacentral:rRNA from 1 species
UACGAGGGGGGCGAGCGUUGUUCGGAAUUAUUGGGCGUAAAGGGUGCGUAGGCGGCCUGACAAGUCUGAUGUGAAAUCCCUGGGCUCAACCCAGGGCCUGCAUCGGAAACUGUCGGGCUUGAGUAUGGGAGAGGUGAGUGGAAUUUCCGGUGUAGCGGUGAAAUGCGUAGAUAUCAAGUGGAACACCAGUGGCGAAGGCGAGUCUCUGGACAUUUCCUGACGCUGAGGCACGAAAGCCAGGGGAGCAAACGGG